rnacentral:rRNA from 1 species
GAUGAACGCUGGCGGCGUGCCUAAUACAUGCAAGUCGAGCGAACGGACGAGAAGCUUGCUUUUCUGAUGUUAGCGGCGGACGGGUGAGUAACACGUGGAUAACCUACCUAUAAGACUGGGAUAACUUCGGGAAACCGGAGCUAAUACCGGAUAAUAUUUUGAACCGCAUGGUUCAAAACUGAAAGACGGUCUUGCUGUCACUUAUAGAUGGAUCCGCGCUGCAUUAGCUAGUUGGUAAGGUAACGGCUUACCAAGGCAACGAUGCAUAGCCGACCUGAGAGGGUGAUCGGCCACACUGGAACUGAGACACGGUCCAGACUCCUACGGGAGGCAGCAGUAGGGAAUCUUCCGCAAUGGGCGAAAGCCUGACGGAGCAACGCCGCGUGAGUGAUGAAGGUCUUCGGAUCGUAAAACUCUGUUAUUAGGGAAGAACAUAUGUGUAAGUAACUGUGCACAUCUUGACGGUACCUAAUCAGAAAGCCACGGCUAACUACGUG